GUUCCAGAACAUUUACUGGUGAUGAGAGACUCUAAAGAAGUCACAGCUUGCUUCCUUUCUGAAGAACGUUGUGAUUUUGGCUCACGUGCAGUGCACGACAACUCUUCUCCAACAGCAUGACAUAGUCCACUGUCUCAGGAUCCCAUUUUUCCACCAGCUGCAGAGCAGGAAGGGACAAAUCAAAGUGUGAGCAUUCGGAUCACCAACGCUGUGACCUCGCUGUGUGAACGGGAGCUACUACAGGAAGGAAGCUUACAAAUGAGCUGCAUGGAUCCCACAUUUUGCUAAAAUCAAAUAGGACCUUUCUCCUCUUUGUUGAAUGCCGUAAUACACAAGAAAUAAGCCAGCAGGAUGCUCAUGUCCAAGGUUUCCCUUUAUCUACCACACGAGUUGGCAUGAAACAACUUCUGGGGUUCAAAUCUUCUGAACAAUGAUACAAGUCUUGGCAAAUUUCAAGAAUAAUUUAAAGAGGAAAUAAAUAGCUUUUUGUUUAACUUGGAUCAAUUAUCUCCUAUUGCUCCCAGCUUCAUGCCAGGUACUCUCCACUGUGCCUGGGAAAUAUGAAUCCCUGCCCUCAUGAAAAAACAUUGGCCAUGAGGAUUUUCCCUACAACCCAAGAACUAUUUGAAGUUUGAAGUCUUUCAGCCCAGACAACACUGGCUAUUUUCACCUUUGCCUUCAACUAUAAAGGCUGGGCUCUCUCUGCAGGAGUGGGUAAGUACAGCCCGUGGUGGAGAAGAGAGAAAAAGUCUUUCAGUGCAGUACAGGCUCUAUCACAAUAGAUGGGCCUUAUUAGCCAUUCUCAGCCUCAUAGAUAAUGUAGUCGUGGAUGGCAUGGUUUGAUCUAGUGAAGAAUUGCCCAGGAGAUUGUGUUGACAUCUGAGAUUUAUUUUAAUCCUUUUUUGCAGAUUUUGUAACGAGCAUUGUAACAAAGUACGCCAAAGAAUCAUUACAUAUCUUAUAAAAUCUUAAUAAUACAAAAAUUAGAAACGUUUUUCAUGCAUACGUUCAAUUUGUUCAAAGUCCUGAUUUCGCUUUGCUGAUUAGCAUACAGUGCCCUGUGAGGGGACCCUGCCUUUAAGACAUCAUGCUCCCUGGAUUGCGAUGUAUAUUUUUAAAUGAGUAGUAUGCAUAUUAUGUUUACAGGUCGCUACUGUCAAAUCAUAUAGUUUGAACUAAAUGAUGCAGAAUGGACACAUACCUAUGUACAUGGGUUCUUUUUUUUCACUUAUUCACUAAAUCCUUAUUGACUGUCCAGCUUGAGCAUUAAAAAUAAAGUGAAAAAAUAAGCCUUCAGAAAUAAAGAGAUAUUUCCACUGUGGAGCAGAAGAUGUAUUAUGGGGAUCUGUCUGGAAAAGUAAAUGAUUCCUACAAGGGCAUGCAGCCGGAGGAGCGGCUGUAGCAAGAAUGUAGGACCCAGGGCUGGAUGCAUGCCUUCUUUCCUUGAGUCCACACUGAAUAGUUGUGUGAUCCCAAGCAAAGCAUUCCAUCAUUUUGACCUUCUUUCCUCAACUGGAAAAUGAGAUUAAUCUUACCUACUUUAUAGUGCUAUUGUGAAGAUGAAAGGGAAUAUUGUAUGCAAAAUUACCUAGCACAGAGGAGAUAGCCAGUAAAGUUUUUCGCUUUUUCCCUUUCUGUUAUUUAGUGGUAAGAUCUCAAGCAAUUCAGUAUCCUGAAAAUGCAGUGUAUGGCACAUAGGUCAUUGCAAUACAUUUCCUUCAUGAAACUCUUCCUGGCCCUGACUUGGCGUCUCAUGCAAUGUCCUUCAUUUCUCCUCCCCUCUCCCAACCCAGAAGUCAGGUUGUUUGUUUGUUCUUUCCCCAGAUUUCUGCUUUCUUCAUCCUCCAGGCUUCCUUUUCUCUUGAGCAUCUAUUUGCUUCCCUUUCCU